AUAAAAUAAGAAGAGCUUACUAGGUGCAUUUGAUCAACAAUCCAAUCCUCAACGAUGGAAUCGAUGCCAUCAAAUAAACAUGACUUAAUCUUGAAACCACAAACUGCACUAAGCAUAGCACCAAAGCCAGAGCGUGACUAUAAAGAAGAAGAAAAAAGAAGGCAAAGAAGAAUUAAAUUAACAUGAAAUUCAACUGGAACAAUACAAAAUAUGAAAUUUUUAGCAAUCUUACGAGCAUUAUACACAAAUCUCAAUUCACGACAAAUAGGGGAAUGAAUCACUAACAUCACCCAAUUCGUAUAUUCAAAUAAUGUAUCCCCACUCCUAACAAGCAACGUGCUACCACAGUCGAUUAGUUGUUAGGGUUAAGGCUUACCAUAGAGAACUGGAUGGCGCUAACUAAAUGACAAGUUGAAACGGCAUCUGCAAUCGUAUUGAAUGACAUUGAACCGCGAGGUAGGGUUUAAAUGAAUACCGGGCAGAGAUAAAUUGGUGUGGUGAAUUAGGGUUUUGUGGCUACGUUUUAUUUCGAUUGAAAAAAGGAAUUUGAGCCAGGCUUUAAUAUGUAAAUUUUCGCUUAGUUGAAACAGAGGAAAGCUUUUGGGUUAUUAAAGUGAAAGAUAUGGAAUAAUACAAAAAAUUAUUGAAGUGAAAGAACAGGAAUACAAAAAAUCAGCAGAUGAGAUCGUUGAAAGAUGCGGACUGCUGUACGGCCAAGGCGGAUGUACGGUACAGCAGUGAUGGUCAUUUUGAAUCGACCGUUGAUUAAAAAAAUUCCUCAAAUAUUCACUCUAUAACAGUCCCAUGUUGAUGGCGUUGGGAAGUGUUUUCCAGAAAUGUUUUCCAUUUUUAAAAGCAUGAAUAUCGGGAAAAAAAAAUGGGAAAUACAGCGUUUUAGUUUAGUUAUUUUAAAAAUAGGCAUGUUUGAAAAUUAAAAUUUUUUAAAAACUAGCAUCAAGAUGAAAAAUGAAUUUAUAAUAUUUAAAAAUUAGCUGAAAUUCUUUCUCCGUUCCUAAUACUAAAUAGUGUAAAUGCAUUUUCAUUAUCUUUGUUUUUCUGGACUUCUAUUUAUUUAUUUUUGUUUUAAUUUUUUCCUUUUUUUCUUUAACAAAAAAUAUCUAGUAGACAUUCAUGGUUUGUUAUUUUUCAUAAAACAAUUGUAUGAUUUUGACAUACUUUGAAUCUAGUUGAAUGCUACUCUUUAUUUUCAGGUUGGAAUUCCCAAUAGUCUAGUGAAUCUUAAUGUAUCACUCUGUGAAAAAAUAGAAGAAAUCAUAGGACAUGUUGGAGAAGAAGCGAAGGAGAAUCGUAUUGCUUUCAGCGAAUUAAAACUUUUGGAACUUGAUUAUUUACCAAGGCUUACCAGCUUUUGUUCGGAGAAUUACACUCUUGAAUUCCCAUCAUUGGAACAAGUUUCUAUGACACAUUGUCUGAACAUGAAGACUUUUUCUCAGGGAAUCUU
rnacentral:lncRNA from 1 species